rnacentral:misc_RNA from 1 species
GAUGAAGAAGUAGCGAAAUGCGAUACUUGGUGUGAAUUGCAGAAUCCCGUGAACCAUCGAGUCUUUGAACGCAAGUUGCGCCCGAAGCCACUAGGCCGAGGGCACGCCUGCCUGGGCGUCACACGUCGUUGCCCCCCCCCCAUCUACUCCUUCGGGAUUGCGGGGGGCGGAUGAUGGCCUCCCGUGCGCCUAGCCGCGCGGUUGGCAUAAAUACCAAGUCCUCGGCGACGCACGCCACGACAAUCGGUGGUUGCGAAACCUCGGUUGCCCGUCGUGUGCGUUCGUCGCGCAUCGAGGCCUCGAAAAAAUGCUCGGCUCCGGCUCGGCUUUCAACGCGACCCCAGGUCAGGCGGGGUUACCCGCUGAAUUUAAGCAUAUCAAUAAGCGGAGGA